rnacentral:tRNA from 3 species
GCACCCGUAGCUCAGCUGGAUAGAGUGUCGCCCUCCGAAGGCGAAGGUCGUAGGUUCGAAUCCUACCGGGUGCGCCA